AAGACCUUGCGCUUUUGGAGCGGCCGAUGCCUGAUUAGCUUGUUGGUAAGGUAAAAGCUUACCAAGGCUUCGAUCAGUAGCUGGUCUGAGAGGACGGCCAGCCACACUGGGACUGAGACACGGCCCAGACUCCUACGGGAGGCAGCAGUGGGGAAUUUUGGACAAUGGGGGCAACCCUGAUCCAGCCAUGCCGCGUGAGUGAAGAAGGCCUUCGGGUUGUAAAGCUCUUUCAGCCGGAACGAAACGGUUACGGUUAAUACCCGUGGUUACUGACGGUACCGGAAGAAGAAGCACCGGCUAACUACGUGCCAGCAGCCGCGGUAAUACGUAGGGUGCGAGCGUUAAUCGGAAUUACUGGGCGUAAAGCGUGCGCAGGUGGUUUUGUAAGUCAGAUGUGAAAGCCCCGGGCUCAACCUGGGAACU
rnacentral:rRNA from 1 species